rfam:Oryzias latipes DNA, chromosome20, strain: Hd-rR.
GUGGGAUAUGGUGACAUUUACCCACAAACUUUACUUGGGAAGAUUGUUGGUGGACUCUGCUGUAUUGCAGGGGUUCUGGUAAUAGCUCUACCGAUCCCCAUUAUUGUAAACAAC